UACGUAGGUGACAAGCGUUGUCCGGAUUUACUGGGCGUAAAGAGCGCGCAGGCGGUCGUUCAAGUCGAGUGUGAAAGCCCCCCGGCUCAACUGGGGAGGGUCAUUCGAUACUGAUCGACUCGAAGGCAGGAGAGGGAAGUGGAAUUCCCGGUGUAGUGGUGAAAUGCGUAGAUAUCGGGAGGAACACCAGUGGCGAAGGCGACUUCCUGGCCUGUUCUUGACGCUGAGGCGCGAAAGCUAGGGGGAGCAAACGGG
rnacentral:rRNA from 1 species